CGAACGGGUGAGUAAUGCGUGACCAACCUGCCCCAUGCUCCAGAAUAGCUCUUGGAAACGGGUGGUAAUGCUGGAUGCUCCAACUUGACGCAUGUCUUGUUGGGAAAGUGUUUAGUGGCAUGGGUUGGGGUCGCGUCCUAUCAGCUUGUAGGCGGGGUAAUGGCCCACCUAGGCUUCGACGGGUAGCCGGCCUGAGAGGGCGGACGGCCACAUUGGGACUGAGAUACGGCCCAGACUCCUACGGGAGGCAGCAGUA
rnacentral:rRNA from 1 species